rnacentral:rRNA from 1 species
GACGAACGCUGGCGGCGUGCCUAAUACAUGCAAGUAGAACGCUGAAGGAGGAGCUUGCUCUUCUGGAUGAGUUGCGAACGGGUGAGUAACGCGUAGGUAACCUGCCUGGUAGCGGGGGAUAACUAUUGGAAACGAUAGCUAAUACCGCAUAAGAGUAGAUGUUGCAUGACAUUUGCUUAAAAGGUGCAAUUGCAUCACUACCAGAUGGACCUGCGUUGUAUUAGCUAGUUGGUGGGGUAACGGCUCACCAAGGCGACGAUACAUAGCCGACCUGAGAGGGUGAUCGGCCACACUGGGACUGAGACACGGCCCAGACUCCUACGGGAGGCAGCAGUAGGGAAUCUUCGGCAAUGGACGGAAGUCUGACCGAGCAACGCCGCGUGAGUGAAGAAGGUUUUCGGAUCGUAAAGCUCUGUUGUAAGAGAAGAACGAGUGUGAGAGUGGAAAGUUCACACUGUGACGGUAUCUUGCCAGAAAGAGACGGCUAACUACGUG